rnacentral:rRNA from 1 species
AUUGAACGCUGGCGGCAGGCCUAACACAUGCAAGUCGAACGAGUGGCGGACGGGUGAGUAAUGUCUGGGAAACUGCCCGAUGGAGGGGGAUAACUACUGGAAACGGUAGCUAAUACAGCAUACCAUCGGAUGUGCCCAGAUGGGAUUAGCUUGUAGGUGAGGUAACGGCUCACCUAGGCGACGAUCCCUAGCUGGUCUGGGAGGAUGACCCGCCACACUGGAACUGAUACACGGGCCAGACUGCUACGGGAGGCAGAAGUGGGGAAUAGUGAACAAUGGGCGAAAGCCUGAGGCAGCCAUGUCGAGUGUAUGAAGAAGGCCUUCGGGUUUUAAAGUACUUUCAGCGGGGAGGCGUUACCCGCAGAAGAAGCACCGGCUAACUACGUGCCAGCAGCCGCGGUAAUAC